rnacentral:sRNA from 1 species
AUCAAGAAGAAGCUUGGUUAGUGUUUUGGAGUCGAAUAUGACUUGAUGUCAUGUGUAUGAUUGAGUAUAAGAACUUAAACCGCAACCGGAUCUUAAAAGCCUAAGUACUGUUUCUUUGUUA